CAAUUUAAAAAUUGAAACAUUUUGACAAAUGUGUAUUUUUACUAUGUUUAGAAUGUCUCAAUUAUAGGUAAUUAUAGGAAGAAAUUAUAGGAAGAAAAGAAUUAUGGCCACUGAUGCUGUGAGUAUUUGUGCAGUAUGUGCCAGCCUGAGUGGAAACUAUGAGAAUAAUAUAUACCAAGUGCCAGGACCCCCACCUUGGAGUUGCCCACCGUUGCCUGUGGAUUUUGGAUGCUGGGAAUCAGCAAGCACUUUCACUCUUCGCCACCGAGCCGCCUAUCCCACCUCCACCGUUCAUUUAUACCAGUGUGGAUAUUGAUCAAGAAAAUAAUCCCCAGGGCUCCCGUGUAUGCAAACAUCCGCCAUCGAAUUAAUGAGUUAAUUCUUAAGAAACUGAAUGAUUAUUUUAGAUUUUAAAAACUCCCGUGCCCUCGAUUUUAUGAAUUCUGAACCCAUCUAGUUCGAUUGCCUCAUCUGUCCAGCCCACAUGAGGGAAGAAAUUCUGUGUCUUUCUUUCGGAGUUAGAUGAACAGUCUAACGUGACUCAUUCGGAACAUUUUAACGAUUAAUGAUUCUAGUGGAGUUCCUCUGAUAAGGACCACGCAUGCUAUCCUAAAAUAGAAAGAGUACAAUCAGAGAAUGUACUCACACACAAAUAGCGCUUCUGAUAAGUGAAUGUUGGAAAGUCCCGCACUUGGUGAAUCAUUUGCUCACGGCCGCGGUGACCGCAAUAGAGGCUGUGCAGAUGCUGCCACCUGCUGUUUGCUGGUGGUAUAACUCCUUUACGUAACAAAUGAUCACCCCAAAACUGCAUUUCUUUUGUCAGAAAGAUGAUCCUUGUCUCAAUCGCACUUUCUUUUAAAAUCAUUUACAUUUAAAUUACUAUACCUGUUAGUUGCAAAAUUUUUUACAUAUGUGUGUAAAUAUUAGAUAACAAAACCAGCUUUAGGUCUGAACAGACUACCAUUAUGUAACUGAAAUUUCACUAAAAACUAUAUCAUUCCCCAACUGAAUUUGAAGCAAUUAAAAUUACUGGCUUGCCAUUUAGUUCUAUGGAGAAUAUUUUACUUUUUUUCUUUUUCUUGUUGCUUAGUCUUAGUCUUUUCAUGCUGUUAUAUGGAAAUACCGUAAGUUACAUGGGCUAUAAUAGCAGACAUAUUUCUCUCAGUUCUAUAGGAUGAGGAGAACCAGACAGAAGUGGUGAAGGAUUUGGGAUCCAUGUGUCUCCUCAUCGCUACCUCAUUGGUGGAGGGACCAGUGAUCUCUGAGCCUCAUCUUGUUCUUCAGCUUGACACCCUCGGGAUCUUGUUGCUUCUGAAGGCAAAGUUCAUCAUAACCUGGAGGCUAGGAUUUGAAUGCAAGAUUCUUAUAGGGGGGUGUCCUUCUGUAUGCUGUGAAUAUAUGUUUCUCUUAUUGGUUGAAAAAUAAAGCUGUUUCAGCCAAUGAACA
rnacentral:lncRNA from 1 species